ACGAGGAGGGGAAAGAGGAAGGGUAAGAAGAGUAAGAAAUAGAAUAACUGAUGACAUCAGAGCUACAAUAGUGGACCAUGUCAUCAACCAUGGGAUGACCCUGAGGGAAUCUGGCCAACGGGUUCAGCCUAAUUUGAGCCGCUACACUGUGGCAAGCAUCAUUAGGACAUUUCGAAAUGAGAAUCGGUAAGUACUUUGUAGCACUGCCAUACUCUAAUGAGAAACACAACAGUACCAUACAUGCAAAAAUACUGAAAUUGUUACUUUACAGAAUUGCUAGACGUCCAGAUGUUGGGGCAGAGGAAGAAUGUUCACUCCAGAGCAAGAGACCCAUAUAGUGAACAUGGUGAUUGCCAAUAAUGCAAUAAGACUGUGCGAAAUACAGAAGCGCAUAAUUGAUAAUGACACCAUCUUUCAAAAUAUACACAGUGUAAGCAUUUCUGCACUAAGUCGUGUACUUGCGCGCCACAGAAUAAGAAUGAAGCAAAUUUACAGAGUUCCUUUCGAGAGAAACACAGAACGUGUAAAGCAACUGCGAUAUGACUAUGUGCAGAGAGUGAUGGAACUAGAAGCAGAUGCCAUGGGACAUGAGCUACUUUUUGUAGAUGAGGCCGGUUUUAACCUCAGUAAAACCAGGAGACGUGGCAGGAACAUUAUUGGACACCGUGCCAUCAUCAAUGUCCCAGGAUAACGUGGUGGUAACAUAACCAUGUGUGCAGCUAUAAGCCAAAAUGGUGUUGUUCACCAUCAUGCAACCAUAGGCCCAUACAACACUGCACACAUUAUUGCAUUCCUGGACACCUUCCAUGACAUGCUCACUGUUCAGAGACCAGAGCAUACCCGAUAUGUCAUCAUAUGGAACAAUGUUAGUUUCCAUAGGGCUGCUUUGGUCCGCAACUGGUUUACAGACCACCCAUCCUUCAUGGCACUCAACCUCCCUCCAUACUCUCCAUUCUUAAAUCCCAUCGAGGAGUUCUUCUCUGCCUGGCGCUGGAAAGUGUACGACCGUCAUCCUCAUCAACAGGUAGCCCUUUUACAGGCAAUGGAGGAGGCAUGUGGAGACAUUGACCAGGCAUCAUGUCAGGCCUGGAUACGGCAUUCAAGGAGAUAUUUUCCCCGGUGCCUUGGACUGGAGGACAUCACAUGCGAUGUGGACGAAAUUUUGUGGCCGGACCCAGAAAGACGACAUGAUGUAGGCUGAUUGUCUUUUUUUUUUCUUUUUUUUUGUGAAAUUACUAUUUUGUGUUCUGACUUUGUCUUGGUUUUGAUGAGUGUGAAUAAACACCAAUACUUGAA